UCACUUGAGUCAGACGAGGAAGAGGAUGAAACUUCUGGUCCUGAACCAUCAAUGUCACAGGACCCACAUUUUCUCCCAUCCUCCUCCUCCUCUGAACCACACCUCAUAACACAAGGUGAACUGAAUGACCUUGUCAGGGAUUUGGAACUACCCAAGAGUAAGGCAGAGCUGUUGGGCUCCAGACUACAGCAGUGGAGUCUCCUGGCAGGUGAUGUUAGGGUUUCCAUGUUCCGUGACCGUCAAAAGGAUCUUGUCCCAUUCUUCUUCAUGGAAGAUGAUCUUGUAGCCUGCAACAACAUCGAUGGUGUGAUGGCAGCCCUCAACAUCGUUCACGAUCCAGAUGAGUGGAGACUGUUCAUUGAUUCAUGGAAGACGAGUCUUAAAGCUGUUUUACUGCAUAAUGGCAAUGUUUUGCCAUCAAUUCCAGUUGGUCAUGCAGUCCAUAUGAAGGAAAACUAUGACAACAUGAAACAACUUUUGAGGUGCAUAAGCUAUGACCAACAUCAUUGGCAGCUUUGUGGCGAUUUGAAGGUUGUUGCUCUCUUGCUUGGUCUGCAGACUGCAUACACAAAGUACUGCUGUUUUCUCUGCGAAUGGGAUAGUCGUGCAAGAGAUUCCCACUACAUCAAGAAAGAUUGGCCACUCCGACAGUCAUUGGAGCCUGGGAGGAAAAGUGUUCAGCAUCCACCACUUGUUGAAUCAAGGAAGAUUUUGUUACCACCCUUACACAUCAAGCUGGGUCUGAUGAAGAACUUUGUCAAGGUCAUUGACAAAACACAAGCAGCUUUCAAGUACCUCCGUGGAAAAUUUCCAAGGUUAAGUGAAGCUAAGAUAAAGGAAGGUGUCUUUGUUGGUCCUCAGAUUCGUGAAUUUCUUCGAGAUGAUGCAUUUGACCAUGCACUGCGUGGCAAGGAAAAGAUGGCAUGGAAAGCCUUCCAGUUAAUGGCAAUAAAUUUUCUCUGAAACAACAAGGCAGACAACUACAGGUUGUUGGUGGAAAACCUCCUCAAGGCAUACAAAAGCCUUGGUUGCAACAUGUCACUAAAGAUACAUUUUUUGCACUCUCAUCUAGAUUUUUUUCCACCGAACUGCGGAGCAGUGAGCGACGAGCACGGCGAGCGAUUUCACCAGGACAUUGCAACAAUGGAGAAAUGCUAUCAGGGGAAAUGGAGCCCAUCAAUGCUUGCAGACUAUUGCUGGACAGUGACAAGAGAUGCUCCAUUUAAUGAAUACAAGAGACAAGCCAAGAAGCGCCGAGUAGAUGCUGAAUAGGACUAAACUAUGUACAUAAUAGUUUUUUGCCUUUUGUUUCA
rnacentral:lncRNA from 1 species